CAGCACCUCAAGUGGUCAGGAUGAUUAUUGGGCCUAAAGCAUCCGUAGCCUGCUCUGUAAGUUUUCGGUUAAAUCUGUACGCUCAACGUACAGGCUGCCGGGAAUACUGCAGCGCUAGGGAGUGGGAGAGGUAGACGGUACUCGGUAGGAAGGGGUAAAAUCCUUUGAUCUAUUGAUGACCACUUGUGGCGAAGGCGGUCUACCAGAACACGUCCGACGGUGAGGGAUGAAAGCUGGGGGAGCAAACCGGAUUAGAGACCCGAGUAGUCC
rnacentral:rRNA from 1 species